CUAAUGAACAGAAGGAGAAGCCUACUCAAUCUGCAAAAUCUCUUUCUAAUUGGUCUGGUGGUUCUCAGUAUUCGCCAGUAGAAAGGUUUGUUCAUAAUGCGAAAUGUAUGUCCUUAAGUCAGUUCUGCAAAAUCAAACAUGUAAGUUGAAUACUAUAGAGCCGAAUUUAUCUUUACUAUUACAAUUAUAUUGUUUGCUUUUUGAAAUUAAUAUCAUUUUUUAUUUGCUUUUAGGAAACUUUAUGUGUUACUGUAGCAACCACAUUGAAAUUUGCUGUCUCAAAGUAUGGAUGGUUUUAUUAUGGCUGCACAAGGUGUUCUUCGAAGGCACCUAAUCCUGAAAAAGCUUAUGAAUGUUCAUGUGGGCAAAAAGUCGAACAGCCUAUACCAAGGUACAAGAUUGAGAUAUAUGUUAGCAAUGGUGAAUCAAAAUAUCGAUUUGUAUUCUGGGAUUCCGAAUGUGCUGCUAUACUUGGAAUGACUGCUGAAUUUAUGCAUAACUCUAUGGUGGAGAAUGGAGAAGAUGAUCCAAUGGUUUAUCCUGAUGAGCUUGAAAUGCUGUUGAAUAAGAAAAUGACUUUUAGAGUUAAGGUGCAGCCAACGUUUUCCCAAGCGUCUGUUUGGAAGCUUUGUGAUGAUGAAGCCUUUGUUAAAGAGAUUGAAAA